GAGCUUGUCUGACAACAAUAUAUCAGUGAUUUCAAACAGCACAUUUGCAAAUCUGAAACGUCUUCAGUACAUAUAUUUGGACAAAAAUCCAUUAACUACAAUACAGCAAGGAAUAUUUCAUGGCUUACCCGUAGUUGAAACACUGAGUUUGAACAACAUUCAAAUAACUACAAUACAACAGAGAACAUUUCAAGACUUACCAUUACUCAAAACACUG